CUGUGGCAGUUCCAGAUGGUCCAGCUCUGCAGCCAAUUUAUAAAACUGUAGGAAAUGAUGCAAGACUAGAGCAAGUCUAAAUACACAACAUAUGCAAACAUAAAAUUGCCAAAUGUAUUAAAAAAAAAAAAAAAAAAAAAUGUUGUGAUGUCAAGACGCUGACGCUAAUGACCGGACAACAAUCGGACAACAGACGCAGAGCGCCAGAUUUGAAAGAAUUUACGGCAGCUGAAGAGAAACGUAGAAGUGUCAAAGGCGGCUUUGUGGCUUCAAACAACAAUUGUGCCCCCCUUUGAUUAAGUAGGUGGCAAACAAUAUGUGAACAGAAUAGUAUGUCUGGAAUCACAUUAUUCAUAAAACAGUUGGCAAAAAGUCUCUGGAUGACACACUAUUUCCGGCAAGAUUCUGAAGUGUGCAUCUGGUGGACACUUUUCUAUCCCAUGAGUCCACAGAGAGGAUUUGUGAAUGGCAGGAAAGCAACACAUCUGACGCAGUUGCCUAGUUCAUAUUCGUCACAUCAGAAAUAAGCAAUCACUGUUGCCUCCAGAAGUGUUUGGACCCUACUUUUUUCUGCUGCAUUUCAUGUGCCCAGCAGGAUCUUCUCUUUUAAAUUUCCCCAUGUGCUUUCAAGAACAAGCUGGAGUUUGUCCUUAUCAAGUCUCUGGUGGGAUGGAGUUCGAUGCAACAAAUGCAUCUCACUCACUCCUGGAGUGUCUAGUACUUCAGCAUUCACCAUCUCAGUGGAGCAGAAUGUUAAAUGACGAUCAGGAUGAGCUGAGAAAGCAAUUACAGAGAAGAGGAGGAGAGACAAUGCAGGCAAGUGACAGCAACACAAAAAAAGCAAAAGUAAGAUAAUGACAGAAUUGGAGAUGCUUCAUGGAUAUAAGGUAAUAAGUUAUAUUGAUAUUUGCUAAAGAAAGCAUCACUUCUUAAGGUAAGGCUUACAUAAGUAUUACAUUUCUGCACUUAGCUCAUCUUGCUCAUUAGUGUUCUAAAAUCUGACUUGCAGUUUUGGCAAUAAAACCUGUGAAAAAAAAAAAAAACAUGCGGUUAGGCUCUUUCAGGCACCAA